AUCUUGCCACCUUACUAG
rnacentral:misc_RNA from 1 species